rnacentral:rRNA from 1 species
GACGUAGGGGGCGAGCGUUGUCCGGAAUCACUGGGCGUAAAGCGCGUGCAGGCGGCUCGGUAAGUCCCGUGUGAAAGCCUACGGCUCAACCGUAGGAGGCCGCGGGAUACUGCUGGGCUCGAGGGCAGGAGAGGGAAGUAGAAUUCCCGGUGUAGCGGUGAAAUGCGUAGAUAUCGGGAGGAAUGCCAGUGGCGAAGGCGGCUUCCUGGCCUGUCCCUGACGCUGAGACGCGAAAGCUGGGGGAGCGAACGGG